AGAGUUUGAUCCUGGCUCAGGACGAACGCUGGCGGCGUGCCUAACACAUGCAAGUCGAACGGAGAUAUGCGAACGAGGCCUUCGGGCGGAGAUUGCAUAUUUUAGUGGCGGACGGGCGAGUAACGCGUGAGCAACCUGCCCUUCAGAGGGGGAUAACGGCUGGAAACGGCCGCUAAUACCGCAUGACAUAUACACAAGGCAUCUUGAGUAUAUCAAAGGAGUAAUCCGCUGAAGGAUGGGCUCGCGUCCGAUUAGCUAGUUGGUGAGGUAAUGGCUCACCAAGGCGACGAUCGGUAGCCGAACUGAGAGGUUGAUCGGCCGCAUUGGGACUGAGACACGGCCCAGACUCCUACGGGAGGCAGCAGUGGGGGAUAUUGCACAAUGGAGGGAACUCUGAUGCAGCGACGCCGCGUGGGGGAAGAAGGUCUUCGGAUUGUAAACCUCAGUAGUCAGGGAAGAAAGAAAUGACGGUACCUGAAGAGUAAGCUCCGGCUAACUACGUGCCAGCAGCCGCGGUAAUACGUAGGGAGCGAGCGUUGUCCGGAAUUACUGGGUGUAAAGGGUGCGUAGGCGGGUCAGCAAGUCAGGCGUGAAAUACCGGGGCUCAACUCCGGGGCUGCGCUUGAAACUGUUGGUCUUGAGUGAAGUAGAGGCAGGCGGAAUUCCUAGUGUAGCGGUGAAAUGCGUAGAUAUUAGGAGGAACACCAGUGGCGAAGGCGGCCUGCUGGGCUUUAACUGACGCUGAUGCACGAAAGCAUGGGGAGCAAACAGGAUUAGAUACCCUGGUAGUCCAUGCCGUAAACGAUGAUAGCUAGGUGUGGGGGGUUAUAUGCCAUCCGUGCCGGAGUUAACACAAUAAGCUAUCCACCUGGGGAGUACGGCCGCAAGGCUAAAACUCAAAGGAAUUGACGGGGGCCCGCACAAGCAGUGGAGUAUGUGGUUUAAUUCGAUGCAACGCGAAGAACCUUACCAGGUCUUGACAUCCGACUAACGGAGCAGAAAUGCACUGGUGCCCGCAAGGGAAAGUCGAGACAGGUGGUGCAUGGUUGUCGUCAGCUCGUGUCGUGAGAUGUUGGGUUAAGUCCCGCAACGAGCGCAACCCUUGUCAUUAGUUGCUACGGGAAGAGCACUCUAAUGAGACUGCCGUUGACAAAACGGAGGAAGGUGGGGAUGACGUCAAAUCAUCAUGCCCCUUAUGAUCUGGGCUACACACGUACUACAAUGGCCGUUACAGAGGGCAGCGAAGCCGCGAGGCGGAGCAAAUCCCGAAAGGCGGUCCCAGUUCAGAUUGCAGGCUGCAACUCGCCUGCAUGAAGGCGGAAUUGCUAGUAAUCGCGAAUCAGCAUGUCGCGGUGAAUACGUUCCCGGGCCUUGUACACACCGCCCGUCACACCAUGGGAGUCGGUAAUACCCGAAGUCAGUAGCCUAACCAUAUGGAGGGCGCUGCCGAAGGUAGGAUUGGCGACUGGGGUGAAGUCGUAACAAGGUAGCCGUAUCGGAAGGUGCGGCUG
rnacentral:rRNA from 1 species